GGAAAGAUGGAGGUGGAAGCAGAGCAGAGAGAGAUGUUAACACUGUGAUGAGCCAGUUGGUGGGAUCCAGAAGGAACAACCUUAGGUCCUCCCAUGUACCUUCCUCAGAACUUUGGCCCUCAGCAACUUCAACAACAAAUGGAGGAGAAAUUGCCGUCUACUUUUCACAUGGCAGACCAGGUGCUCGUUGUGCCUCUUGAAUCUUACUUGCAGAAAAACUAAGUUCCUGUGGAGAAGGUCUUGUCCAACGUCUAUCAGCCACAGGCCAUUUUCCUAAUUCGUCCUGUAACCAGCUGUUCAGCAACAAAUUAGCAAU